AAACACUGAACCACAAUAACUGUCAUUAUAAUCAUAAUGGCUUUCCUGUCAGGACAAGUCUUAUCAGGCUGGUGACAAGCACAGAGCUGCCCCUGCCAGGUAAACAGUGCUGCCUACGAAGAGAAGCAGUGAGGGAAAGCUACCUGGCACUACACAAUCUACAGUUUCUAGACAAGUUGCAGAAGAACCCAGAUGGAGUGCUGCACUGGGCUGAUGUAGUGUCAUAAACUGGCAGUUCAGGGGCUCUUCAGGAUAUUCACAGACAAGAAGGGGGUGCAGAGUUAGAAGAGGAGGAGGAGGAGGAGCACAAGAAGAUGCUGGCGGAGGAGAAGAAGGAGGAUGAGGAAGAGGAGCAUAGCAAAGAAGAAGGAAGUGAGCGACAGUGGGGUCCAAGCCACGGGAAAAGAGAUUACAUCACGAAAGCAAUGAUGGUGCAGCAAGACCCAUGAAUACAUUACACCAUCAUAUAUACGCAGAGCAUGGGCGGAAGGUAGCAAGAAAUAAUAAAUCAAAAUGAAUGCUA